rnacentral:rRNA from 1 species
GGUUAAGCGACUAAGCGUACACGGUGGAUGCCCUGGCAGUCAGAGGCGAUGAAGGACGUGCUAAUCUGCGAUAAGCGUCGGUAAGGUGAUAUGAACCGUUAUAACCGGCGAUUUCCGAAUGGGGAAACCCAGUGUGAUUCGUCACACUAUCAUUACGUGAAUACAUAGCGUAAUGAAGCGAACCGGGGGAACUGAAACAUCUAAGUACCCCGAGGAAAAGAAAUCAACCGAGAUUCCCCCAGUAGCGGCGAGCGAACGGGGAGCAGCCCAGAGUCUGAAUCAGCUUGUGUGUUAGUGGAACGGUCUGGAAAGUCCGACGGUACAGGGUGAUAGUCCCGUACACCAAAAUGCACAGGUUGUGAACUCGAAGAGUAGGGCGGGACACGUGGUAUCCUGUCUGAAUAUGGGGGGACCAUCCUCCAAGGCUAAAUACUCCUGACUGACCGAUAGUGAACCAGUACCGUGAGGGAAAGGCGAAAAGAACCCCGGCGAGGGGAGUGAAAAAGAACCUGAAACCGUGUACGUACAAGCAGUGGGAGCAUCCUUUUGGGUGUGACUGCGUACCUUUUGUAUAAUGGGUCAGCGACUUAUAUUCUGUAGCAAGGUUAACCGUAUAGGGGAGCCGAAGGGAAACCGAGUCUUAACUGGGCGUUAAGUUGCAGGGUAUAGACCCGAAACCCGGUGAUCUAGCCAUGGGCAGGUUGAAGGUUGGGUAACACUAACUGGAGGACCGAACCGACUAAUGUUGAAAAAUUAGCGGAUGACUUGUGGCUGGGGGUGAAAGGCCAAUCAAACCGGGAGAUAGCUGGUUCUCCCCGAAAGCUAUUUAGGUAGCGCCUCGUGAAUUCAUCUUCGGGGGUAGAGCACUGUUUCGGCUAGGGGGUCAUCCCGACUUACCAACCCGAUGCAAACUGCGAAUACCGAAGAAUGUUAUCACGGGAGACACACGGCGGGUGCUAACGUCCGUCGUGAAGAGGGAAACAACCCAGACCGCCAGCUAAGGUCCCAAAGUCAUGGUUAAGUGGGAAACGAUGUGGGAAGGCACAGACAGCCAGGAUGUUGGCUUAGAAGCAGCCAUCAUUUAAAGAAAGCGUAAUAGCUCACUGGUCGAGUCGGCCUGCGCGGAAGAUGUAACGGGGCUAAACCAUGCACCGAAGCUGCGGCAGCGACACUAUGUGUUGUUGGGUAGGGGAGCGUUCUGUAAGCCGUUGAAGGUGUACUGUGAGGUAUGCUGGAGGUAUCAGAAGUGCGAAUGCUGACAUAAGUAACGAUAAUGCGGGUGAAAAACCCGCACGCCGGAAGACCAAGGGUUCCUGUCCAACGUUAAUCGGGGCAGGGUGAGUCGACCCCUAAGGCGAGGCCGAAAGGCGUAGUCGAUGGGAAACAGGUUAAUAUUCCUGUACUUGGUGUUACUGCGAAGGGGGGACGGAGAAGGCUAUGUUAGCCGGGCGACGGUUGUCCCGGUUUAAGCAUGUAGGCGGAGGUUCCAGGUAAAUCCGGUACCUUUUUAACGCUGAGGUGUGAUGACGAGGCACUACGGUGCUGAAGUAACAAAUGCCCUGCUUCCAGGAAAAGCCUCUAAGCAUCAGGUAACACGAAAUCGUACCCCAAACCGACACAGGUGGUCAGGUAGAGAAUACCAAGGCGCUUGAGAGAACUCGGGUGAAGGAACUAGGCAAAAUGGUGCCGUAACUUCGGGAGAAGGCACGCUGAUAUGUAGGUGAAGUGAUUUACUCAUGGAGCUGAAAUCAGUCGAAGAUACCAGCUGGCUGCAACUGUUUAUUAAAAACACAGCACUGUGCAAACACGAAAGUGGACGUAUACGGUGUGACGCCUGCCCGGUGCCGGAAGGUUAAUUGAUGGGGUUAUCCGUAAGGAGAAGCUCUUGAUCGAAGCCCCGGUAAACGGCGGCCGUAACUAUAACGGUCCUAAGGUAGCGAAAUUCCUUGUCGGGUAAGUUCCGACCUGCACGAAUGGCGUAAUGAUGGCCAGGCUGUCUCCACCCGAGACUCAGUGAAAUUGAACUCGCUGUGAAGAUGCAGUGUACCCGCGGCAAGACGGAAAGACCCCGUGAACCUUUACUAUAGCUUGACACUGAACACUGGUCCUUGAUGUGUAGGAUAGGUGGGAGGCUUUGAAGUGUGGACGCCAGUCUGCAUGGAGCCAUCCUUGAAAUACCACCCUUUAAUGGCUGGUGUUCUAACGUGGACCCGUGAUCCGGGUUGCGGACAGUGUCUGGUGGGUAGUUUGACUGGGGCGGUCUCCUCCUAAAGAGUAACGGAGGAGCACGAAGGUUAGCUAAUCCUGGUCGGACAUCAGGAGGUUAGUGCAAAGGCAUAAGCUAGCUUGACUGCGAGAGUGACGGCUCGAGCAGGUGCGAAAGCAGGUCUUAGUGAUCCGGUGGUUCUGAAUGGAAGGGCCAUCGCUCAACGGAUAAAAGGUACUCCGGGGAUAACAGGCUGAUACCGCCCAAGAGUUCAUAUCGACGGCGGUGUUUGGCACCUCGAUGUCGGCUCAUCACAUCCUGGGGCUGAAGUAGGUCCCAAGGGUAUGGCUGUUCGCCAUUUAAAGUGGUACGCGAGCUGGGUUUAGAACGUCGUGAGACAGUUCGGUCCCUAUCUGCCGUGGGCGCUGGAGAAUUGAGGGGGGCUGCUCCUAGUACGAGAGGACCGGAGUGGACGCAUCACUGGUGUUCGGGUUGUCAUGCCAAUGGCAUUGCCCGGUAGCUAAAUGCGGAAGAGAUAAGUGCUGAAAGCAUCUAAGCACGAAACUUGCCCCGAGAUGAGUUCUCCCUGAGACUUUAAGUCUCCUGAAGGAACGUUGAAGACGACGACGUUGAUAGGUCGGGUGUGUAAGUGUAGCGAUACAUUGAGCUAACCGAUACUAAUGAACCGUGAGGCUUAACCUU